UACAGAGGUGGCAAGCGUUGUUCGGAAUUACUGGGCGUAAAGGGCGCGUAGGCGGUCUUGUAAGUCUCGUGUGAAAUCCCUCGGCUUAACUGAGGAACUGCACGGGAUACUGCUUGACUUGAGUUCGGGAGAGGGAAGCGGAAUUCCGGGUGUAGCGGUGAAAUGCGUAGAUAUCCGGAGGAACACCGGUGGCGAAGGCGGCUUCCUGGACCGACACUGACGCUGAGGCGCGGAAGCUAGGGGAGCAAACGGG
rnacentral:rRNA from 1 species